GCUGGGUUAGCCUCUGGACGCCCGCUGGGCUCCCUCAGGGCUGAAUGAAUCAGGUCCACGUGGUUCCUGGCCACCUCUGGCUAGCCUGGCUGUCCCCAAGCCGCAAGGUGAUGAAAGAAGAGUCAUGUGCCUUUCAGCUUUGAAAUACCUCCUGGUUUCUUUGUGCUUCGUGGCUUUUACAGAGUGAAGCCACCACAGGAACAAACACUGGCUGCAAAGUGUUGGCGUCAGGUUUUCACACAAGUGUGAUGUCAGCAGGGCAGCUGGAGGUUCCAUGAGGCUUGGACCUAGCAGUUGAAAGAGACUUAGGUCACUGGAGAGUAAACACCCUACAGAUCUGGACUGGCACUUUGCGGAUUUCCAUUUGACUUCGGUGGACUUUGAAGAUGGGUCACCACUCUCAUUCAGAUGAAAUUCUUUGGAGAGAACUUUAUUUUCAAAGUAAGGAUUUUCAUCAAAAU